GGGGUCGUAGCUCAAUUGGUAGAGCGCGCGCUUCGCAUGCGCGAGGUACCGGGAUCGAAACCUGGCGACUCCA
rnacentral:tRNA from 1 species